UACGUAGGGGGCAAGCGUUGUCCGGAAUUAUUGGGCGUAAAGAGCGUGUAGGCGGUCCGGUAAGUCAGCUGUGAAAGUCAAGGGCUCAACCCUUGAAAGCCGGUUGAUACUGUCGGGCUAGAGUCCGGAAGAGGCGAGUGGAAUUCCCGGUGUAGCGGUGAAAUGCGCAGAUAUCAGGAAGAACACCGGUGGCGAAGGCGGCUCUCUGGGCCUUACCUGACGCUGAGGAGCGAAAGCGUGGGUAGCGAACAGG
rnacentral:rRNA from 1 species